AGCGGCGGACGGGUGAGUAACGCGUGGGUAACCUGCCUCAUACAGGGGGAUAACAGUUGGAAACGGCUGCUAAUACCGCAUAAGUGCACAGUACCGCAUGGUACGGUGUGAAAAACUCCGGUGGUAUGAGAUGGACCCGCGUCUGAUUAGCUUGUUGGCGGGGUAACGGCCCACCAAGGCGACGAUCAGUAGCCGACCUGAGAGGGUGACCGGCCACAUUGGGACUGAGACACGGCCCAA
rnacentral:rRNA from 1 species